rnacentral:rRNA from 1 species
GGGCGGCGUUGCUAUAAUGCAAGUCGAGCGGACAGAUGGGAGCUUGCUCCCUGAUGUUAGCGGCGGACGGGUGAGUAACACGUGGGUAACCUGCCUGUAAGACUGGGAUAACUCCGGGAAACCGGGGCUAAUACCGGAUGGUUGUUUGAACCGCAUGGUUCAGACAUAAAAGGUGGCUUCGGCUACCACUUACAGAUGGACCCGCGGCGCAUUAGCUAGUUGGUGAGGUAACGGCUCACCAAGGCAACGAUGCGUAGCCGACCUGAGAGGGUGAUCGGCCACACUGGGACUGAGACACGGCCCAGACUCCUACGGGAGGCAGCAGUAGGGAAUCUUCCGCAAUGGACGAAAGUCUGACGGAGCAACGCCGCGUGAGUGAUGAAGGUUUUCGGAUCGUAAAGCUCUGUUGUUAGGGAAGAACAAGUGCCGUUCAAAUAGGGCGGCACCUUGACGGUACCUAACCAGAAAGCCACGGCUAACUACAUGCCAGCAGCCGCGGUAAUACGUAGGUGGCAAGCGUUGUCCGGAAUUAUUGGGCGUAAAGGGCUCGCAGGCGGUUUCUUAAGUCUGAUGUGAAAGCCCCCGGCUCAACCGGGGAGGGUCAUUGGAAACUGGGGAACUUGAGUGCAGAAGAGGAGAGUGGAAUUCCACGUGUAGCGGUGAAAUGCGUAUAGAUGUGGAGGAACACCAGUGGCGAAGGCGACUCUCUGGUCUGUAACUGACGCUGAGGAGCGAAAGCGUGGGGAGCGAACAGGAUUAGAUACCCUGGUAGUCCACGCCGUAAACGAUGAGUGCUAAGUGUUAGGGGGGUUUUCCGCCCCUUAGUGCUGCAGCUAACGCAUUAAGCACUCCGCCUGGUCGGAGUACGGUCGCGAGACUGUAAACUCAAAGGAAUUGACGGGGGCCCGCACAAGCGGUGGAGCAUGUGGUUUAAUUCCAAGCAACGCGAAG